ensembl:lncRNA
AUGCUCCCCGCCGCCUUCCUCAGCUCUGCAGAGGUCCUUCCUCCCCCCAGAUGGAUGUCCAGCCCUUUCUGUGCACCUCCCCGAGCCCCUGCAUGUGGCAGUGCCCCUGCUGUCACCCUGGGACAGGGAGUGCCUGCGGAGACAGCCCGCACUGCUUACCGCAUCGAUCCUGCGGACGAGGAUGGGCCUGACCUCCAGCUCCAGCAGCCAGUCGGCCUCCAGGAUGCUGCGGUGGUACUCCUCCAGCUCCAGGCGCUUCUGCAGCUCCUCCAGCAGGGCAGCGUGGCGCGGGCAGCCCCCGGGUCCCACAUCCUGGGGCUCCAUCGCCAUCCCCAUCCCCUCGCACUGCUGCUGCAGGCGCAGGGCGCGGAUGCGCCGGGUGACACCGCGGAUCUGGGCACGCAGGGCGGCCGCCCGCUGCGCGCGGGGCAGCAGGGCCAGCAGCUCCUCCUGGCUCUCCUGCAGCUGGGCUCGCAGCACCCCGGCACUGCUCCCCGCUCCCCAAAAUUGUGUCAAGCCAGCAGGGCUGGGUGGCCGGGGGGUCCUGCUGCAAGGCGGGGGCUGCACAGAGCCUGGAGCCAGUGGCGGGGAGAGGCUGUACCGGCUCCGGUGGAGACGGACCCAGCGCCGGGCGAGCUCUGCUGUGGCCAAGCUCUGGUGAAAAACGUCAGGCACCAGCCUCAAGACCUGCACGACAGGCCCCGUGUUGGUGAAGCCGUGCAGGUCGUGCAGGCUGCGGGGGCUGAAGGUCUGCUCAUGGACAGGCCCCCCCCGCAGCAGCAGCGCCCAGCUCCGGCGGCGGGCGAAGAGGUGCAUGGCCAGGCGCGGGAUGGAGGCCGAGGGGGGCGAGUCCUCGUGCACGUACAAGUUCUCGCACAGCGGGAACACCACCCUGGCGUCAAACCUCUCCUUCAGCGCCCGCAGGUGCUGCAGGUAGGAGGCCAGCCAGCCCACGUAGCCAGCUACGUCAGGGCUCGGCGAGCCGGGCUGGUGCUCGGCGAGCCUCUCCAGGUGCUCCCAGCUCUCCACCUGCCCCGAGGGGCUCCGCGGCAGCACCAGCAGCAGCACAUCGUACAGGGCGCGCAGGUCGAAGUCCUGCCGGCACUGCUGCACGUGCCCCACGAAGGUGUCAAUCUCUCCUUCCAGGGCAGCGUAGAGGGCCUCCAUGGGCAGAGGGGAGGCAGCUGGGAUCGGAGCUCACCUGCGUGGUCCUGA